rnacentral:rRNA from 1 species
UGAGUGGUGUAGAGGUAGGCGGAAUUCCCGGUGUAGCGGUGGAAUGCGUAGAUAUCGGGAGGAACACCAGUGGCGAAGGCGGCCUACUGGGCACUAACUGACGCUGAGGCUCGAAAGCAUGGGUAGCAAACAGGAUUAGAUACCCUGGUAGUCCAUGCCGUAAACGAUGAUUACUAGGUGUGGGAGGAUUGACCCCUUCCGUGCCGCAGUUAACACAAUAAGUAAUCCACCUGGGGAGUACGACCGCAAGGUUGAAACUCAAAGGAAUUGACGGGGGCCCGCACAAGCAGUGGAGUAUGUGGUUUAAUUCGAAGCAACGCGAAGAACCUUACCAGGUCUUGACAUCGGAUGCAUACCUAAGAGAUUAGGGAAGUCCUUCGGGACAUCCAGACAGGUGGUGCAUGGUUGUCGUCAGCUCGUGUCGUGAGAUGUUGGGUUAAGUCCCGCAACGAGCGCAACCCUUAUCGUUAGUUACUACGCAAGAGGACUCUAGCGAGACUGCCGUUGACAAAACGGAGGAAGGUGGGGAUGACGUCAAAUCAUCAUGCCCUUUAUGACCUGGGCUACACACGUACUACAAUGGCUAUUAACAGAGAGAAGCGAUACCGCGAGGUGGAGCAAACCUCACAAAAAUAGUCUCAGUUCGGAUCGCAGGCUGCAACCCGCCUGCGUGAAGCCGGAAUUGCUAGUAAUCGCGGAUCAGCAUGCCGCGGUGAAUACGUUCCCGGGCCUUGUACACACCGCCCGUCACACCAUGAGAGCCGGGGGGACCCGAAGUCGGUAGUCUAACCGCAAGGAGGACGCCGCCGAAGGUAAAACUGGUGAUUGGGGUGAAGUCGUAACAAGGUAGCCGUAUCGGAAGGUGCGGCUG